AGGUGCUGAUGAAGAGUUGGACUUGGGAAAACAGGGUCUCAAAAUCAGGGAUGCUUGGCAUGGAAAACUUCACAAACCUAUCUCUCUCUGCUGCAGGACUCGCAGGAGGACACGGAUGGAUGUCGCAGGAUUUCGCAUUUGAAAUCGACAUAAGCAAUAAAAGGAACGUGUUUUUUCCGGUGCAAAACAAAGAUAUUCUGACUGGAGAGACGAUCAUCUUGAAGGCUUCCGAGAAAUCAG